rnacentral:snRNA from 1 species
AUUUCCCCAAAUGCGGGAAACUCGACUGUGUAGUAUCUGUUCUUAUCAGUUUAAUAUCUGAUACGUCCUCGAUGAGAGGACUUCAUAUUAAACGGAUUUUUGGGCAUGGGAGUUGGAUCCGGAGCUUGCUCCCUCUGCUCCGCGCAUCGUCCCAGUAUUGCAGUGCCUCUGGGAACGGUUCUCAUCAC